rnacentral:rRNA from 1 species
CAGCCGCCGCGGUAAUACGUAGGUGGCAAGCGUUGUCCGGAAUUAUUGGGCGUAAAGGGCUCGCAGGCGGUUUCUUAAGUCUGAUGUGAAAGCCCCCGGCUCAACCGGGGAGGGUCAUUGGAAACUGGGAAACUUGAGUGCAGAAGAGGAGAGUGGAAUUCCACGUGUAGCGGUGAAAUGCGUAGAGGUGUGGAGGAACACCAGUGGCGAAGGCGACUCUCUGGUCUGUAACUGACGCUGAGGAGCGAAAGCGUGGGGAGCGAACAGGAUUAGAUACCCCUGUAGUCCCUGUCUCUUAUAC